GUAUUGUGUUGUUACACUAUAUUCCCUGUGUUUGUGUCUCUGUGUCCAGGUUGGGGAGCAAUAAUCUGACAGAUUGUGGAGUGAAGCGACUGUGUGAGGCUCUGAGGAACCCGGAGUGUAAAAUACAGAGUCUGCGGCUGAACAGUAACAGACUGACCGAUGGCUGCACUGAUGCUCUGGUCUCCGCUCUCAGUACAAACCUCUCACUGGGUUCCUGGACCUGAGGUUUAACUCCUUCACAGACGGCUCUGUCUCCGCUCUCCGCCGCCUCAUACAGACCUGCACCAGUCUGGGGGGGAUAUGGCUGUGGGGGAAUGGGUUCAGUUCAGACGGAGAGAAUCAGCUGAAGUCACUGCGGGGAAUCAGAGCUGAGCUGAGAGUGAGACUCGGACUGAGGCAGUGACUGU